GCUGUUUUCUAGCUUGCAUGACAGGGGAUGAUAAUCAUUUCUUUGCAUCCCUUUUCAAAGUGUGAAAACUUCCUUUUUCUGUAAAGUCUCAUUCUCGGAGUGAGGCUGUGUGUGACAGACUGAUACAAGUGGGUCCUCUGAGAAAUCCAGUUGUAGUCCCACAUGAGAUGGAGGCUCAGACAGUCACGUGGUUGGUUUUUCUGGCCCUAAUAAAACAUGUUUCUACAAGUGACUAUGGAAGUCCCGUUAAAUGUAUGUACAAUACAAAUCUGAAUAUGGAAAUAUGUUUCAGAAUAUACAUAAAAUUACAAUCAGGACACAAAUGUGUCCUUCCUG